AAUCCAUGCAUCGGACAUUUUUGAAUUAACUCUUUAAAUCGUUCACAAGCUUCAUAUAGCAUUUCAUCAUCCACUUUCCGAAAAGAUGUGAUGCCAUUUCUAAACUU
rfam:Gossypium raimondii Chr05_contig_821, whole genome shotgun sequence.